CAGGCCUAACACAUGCAAGUCGAGCGAACAGAUAAGGAGCUUGCUCCUUUGACGUUAGCGGCGGACGGGUGAGUAACACGUGGAUAACCUACCUAUAAGACUGGGAUAACUUCGGGAAACCGGAGCUAAUACCGGAUAACAUAUUGAACCGCAUGGUUCAAUAGUGAAAGGCGGCUUUGCUGUCACUUAUAGAUGGAUCCGCGCCGUAUUAGCUAGUUGGUAAGGUAACGGCUUACCAAGGCAACGAUACGUAGCCGACCUGAGAGGGUGAUCGGCCACACUGGAACUGAGACACGGUCCAGACUCCUACGGGAGGCAGCAGUAGGGAAUCUUCCGCAAUGGGCGAAAGCCUGACGGAGCAACGCCGCGUGAGUGAUGAAGGUCUUCGGAUCGUAAAACUCUGUUAUCAGGGAAGAACAAAUGUGUAAGUAACUGUGCACAUCUUGACGGUACCUGAUCAGAAAGCCACGGCUAACUACGUGCCAGCAGCCGCGGUAAU
rnacentral:rRNA from 1 species